AGGGAAGCUGUUCUUCUCUGGUCUCAGCUCUGAGCUCCAACCCCUCCCAUCUGAGAGAGCUGGACCUGAGCUACAAUCAUCCAGGAGACUCAGGAGUGAAGCUGCUGUCAGCGGGACUGAAGGAUCCUCUCUGGAGACUGGACACUCUCAGGGUGGAGCCUGCUGGAGUCAGAUGGUUGACACCAGGUCUGAGGAAGUAUUCCUGUGAACUCACAGUCGACA